rnacentral:rRNA from 1 species
UACGAAGGGGGCUAGCGUUGUUCGGAAUUACUGGGCGUAAAGGGCGCGUAGGCGGUACUUCAAGUCAGGCGUGAAAGCCCCGGGCUCAACCUGGGAACCGCGCUUGAGACUGGAGAACUAGAGUUCGGGAGAGGAUGGUGGAAUUCCCAGUGUAGAGGUGAAAUUCGUAGAUAUUGGGAAGAACACCGAUGGCGAAGGCGGCUCUCUGGACCACACUGACGCUGAGGCGCGAAAGCUAGGGGAGCAACAGG